rnacentral:rRNA from 1 species
AUGGGGCACCCGCACUUCCUCUGCGAGUCGUGCUGCGUCGACAACCUCCCGGCCGAGAGCAAGUGCAGGACCUGCUCCGGAGCUACCUUCCAACGCUGCACCGCCAUGGAGGACGCCGUCAGCACCAUUUUUCUCCCCUGCAAGCACGGAUGUGAUGAGAGGAUCACCUACUACCGCAAGGCAGAGCACGAGAAGACGUGUAAGGAGGGGCCGUGCUUCUGCCCGGAACCCGGCUGCGGCUUCCGUGGGAAGACGACGGCGCUGUAUGACCACUUCACCACCCAGCACAAGUGGCCAGCGACGAAUUUGCACGGCCGCAUGCUAUUGGAACUGCACGCAGAUCCUGGUGUGCAGAUCCUCCGCGGGGAAGAGGGACACCUCUUCCUGCUCAAAGUGUCGCCCAUGGAGUCCCAAUGUCUCAUGGUCUCUCUUGUCUGUGUGCAGCCCAACCCUCCUGAAUCAGUAUUUGACUGCUCUUUCAGUUACAAAUGGCGUAGCAACCAUUCUCUGAAUGUGUGGUUGGAUAGGAUCCCAAACUCAUCGCUGUCUGAUGGGUUACCGGAGGAUUGCUUCUGUAUUCUGCCCAAUGUUCUCGAAGGAGACACUGCAUUGCUCAAGGGCAUUUUUAUUAAUAAGAGGGUUGACUAUGAUGAUGAGAUUUUUUUCGAAAAGGAUGACGAUGAGAUGGAGGCGGAGGACGAUGAUGACAGUAGCUAUGACGAGAUAAAGGUGGAGAACGAUGAUGAUGAUGAUGAUGAUGAUGCAUGA